rnacentral:lncRNA from 1 species
CGAGGGUGAGGUCCAAGGAUGGGGGCUUGCCUGCAGCCACAGAGCUUUUCUGCAUGAACCUGGAAACAGAAAGGCCCUGUGAAGCCCCCAGGCAGAGGGAGAGGCUCCAGAGAAGGCUCCCACAGACCUGGAGAGCCCAAACAAGUCCACAGGCAUGAAAUUGGCAAGCCAUGGGGACAUGUAGUAACAACUCUGCUCUUUAGAUGAUGGUAAGACCAGAGCUCACGGUCACCACUAUCACCAUUUCAACCCACCCCAGGCCAUCUGUUGCCCAUUCUCUCUCACAGUCCUCCAUCACAGCCUCUGGGGACAACGGCUCCAUCCCUCCUGGGUGCAGAAGGAGGAGGCCACUGGAGCUAGUGGCUGGUGUGGACUGAGUGGGUUGACCAAUUUGGUAUUCUGUGUGGCCCAACCAUUUCUAGGAACACCUGUCCAUCACCUCCUGGCUAGAUGGCACAAGAAGGCUACAGGGAAUGCUAGUGUCAUGGAGAAAUCUGCCCCAUAAGCCACGGUGCCAGCGCAAAACCCUUAGGAAAUGACUUCCUGACUGCAGUAUUCAGUAGAACCUGUGGUUUUAUUUUGAGAUAUCAUCAGGGUGAGUUGCACCAUUUGUACUCCAUUCUCACUGCCCCCUGGCUAUGUGGGACAAGUUCAGAAGGUGACAUGCUGCCAGGGGAAGAACUCUGAGUGUUGCUUUAGGGCUUAUAGGAAGAAAACACUCUCUGUAUGUCUCUAGUUUAGACUCAAAAGAUACGCAAGCGUCAAAUAUGGAAAAGAAACAGCUUACUCAAAGAGACUGUGCAUAACUGAACAACAGAAUAAAAAAUCUAAUUUCCUUUUUUACCUGCAAAAAUGAAAGAAAAAGAAAACAAACACCACCCCUCAUUGAAAAGCCCUGUGCAGACUUUUGGCUCCUUCCGGCUACGGCGGGGAAAGCGCCUACUAUGCCCUUGGUGUUCCCAGUGUCAUGGUCUGUCCUCAAAGCUCAGUGCUUGUUCCUGCAGCCACCAAGGCAGGCAGUACCGACAAAAGCAAUAAGUAUCUGUGUGCAUCCUGAGCGGUUCCCUGUAUUUCUUGGUGUUGCUGUCCUGUUCUAGUGUGAUGACCUGGCAUGUCUCCUGCCUGCUUGUAGUCCAAUGGCACAGUGUUGUUGGCAACUGCUUGGUGACACUGGGUUGAAGCACUGGUUAACACAGCAUGAUGGUGUUGACUCGUCUGUCAGAAAACACGCCAUGUUAUGACUGGUCUGCCUGUGUGUGGUCCGGAGAGCCAUGUUGCCCUCUGAAUCUGACAUUGAUGGGUGAGUCAUAAGUCCUGCCUGUCCUCAAGACAAUGACAGUGACAGGCAUGUCUUCUUGAUGGAGCAUAGACAUGGGGUUGGUUCACCUGUCUUUAGGAUAAUUUGUUGCUGCUCUACCCUAUAGUACAACGUCACGACCCACCCAUCAGUUCGCGAUUAUCCCAGAGUUGUUCUGCCCACCCUUCACUCACUGGCAUGGGG